CCAUUUUUUUUCCAAAGAGCAUCAUCCAAGCUAAAGGCUAUUUUGGUUAGGAUCUUGAGAUUUUUGAAGAUUUGAAGCAUCAAUUUGGAAAUUGGAACUACCAGGGGUAGCAUCCUUUGACAUCAAAUUCGAAUUCAGAGGAGGAGGUAUUGGUGUUGCUUUUGUUGGAAGAAUCAUGUUUGCUGGCUGUAUCAAGCUCAAAACUCAAUCUAAAGCCCACAAUUCAGACCCUAUUUUCGGAUUUGGAUUCUCCCAAGGCUCAGGAUUGAGAUAGCACUUGAGGUCGUAUUGUAGUCAUAUGGAACUCGAGAUUGUGCAGGUAAAUGAACAUGGAAGGCGGGACGGAUCCUAGGUGGCUUUGGCAUGUGUAUUGGGAGAGGACUAAAGGAAUGGACUGACGGGAUCGAUCGACGAUGACAUUGACGUUUGAGUCUUUUAUUAUGUAUUAAUGAUUUCCGCAUUUAAUAAUUGAACAUUUAAAAUAAAGGUUUAAUUUUCUUUUAUGUAUAAACAAUGGG